rnacentral:rRNA from 1 species
GAUUUCUGGUUUGACGUGCCUGGCCCGCCGGCGUCAGCUGUGUGAGUGCCGGAGCGCGUCUGCCAUCCUUCUAGAAAACGGCCUUACCCUUCACUGGGCCGAGGUCGCGAUCUAGAUCUUUUACUUUGAAAAAAUUAGAGUGUUUAAAGCAGGCUUACGCUAUGAAUACAUUAGCAUGGAAUAAUAAUUUAGGACUUCGGUCUCUAUUUUGUUGGUUUCUAGAGCUGAAGUAAUGAUUGAUAGGGAUAGUUGGGGGUGCUAGUAUUCAGCGGCCAGAGGUGAAAUUCUUGGAUUCGCUGAAGACUAACUUAUGCGAAAGCAUU